UUAUUUUCCUUUGCAAAAAUCUGUUAAAAAGAAAGCAGUAUUCCUGAAAAGAGGUUUGAGGAGGUUCAAUUUUUCCAUCACUUCACCAUAACACAUGCAGACACAGACACACACACACACACACACACACACACAACUUCUAUGUGUACAUGCAUGAAACUAAAGGCACACCAUAGCGAUUGUCACAGUCCUCAUUCUUGAGUCUCUCUUGUGACUUUGGUAAGAUCAAAGGAGAAAUUCAGCCCUGAAACUGUAGAGACAUCACACAAUUUGGGGCAUUUGUCCUGAUUUAUUUAUUGUCCAUUAUAUGUGUUAUAAUUACUGGGGAGGAAAAAAAUAAUGUCCAUUAUAUGUGUCAUAAUUACAGGGGAAGAAAAAAAUAAUUGUAGGUGAUUCUUAUUUCUUCUCCAAUAACUUAUUUAUAAUUUUAAUAUUUUCUACAAUGAAAAUAUAUAACUUUUUGUUUCUUAUCCAUGAUUGUUGAGUUAAACACAUAGUUGAUAUUUCCUAUACUCUUUUUUGUUCAAUAAUAAAUGCACUAAAGUCUCUAAAAUAUUAUCUGAGUACCAUUUUGAACUAAAAUCAUAGGUGUUGGCACGUUGCAUUCUCAUGGUUUUCAAAAAUUUCUAAGUAGUUUAAUAGCCCAAAGA
rnacentral:lncRNA from 1 species